CCUACGGGCGGCAGCAGUGAGGAAUAUUGGUCAAUGGGCGCAAGCCUGAACCAGCCAAGUCGCGUGAGGGAUGACGGUCCUAUGGAUUGUAAACCUCUUUUGUCGGGGAGCAAGGCCCGCCACGUGUGGCGGGAAGUAGAGUACCCGAAGAAAAAGCAUCGGCUAACUCCGUGCCAGCAGCCGCGGUAAUACGGAGGAUCCGAGCGUUAUCCGGAUUUAUUGGGUUUUAAGGGUGCGUAGGCGGCCUUUUAAGUCAGCGGUGAAAGUCUGUGGCUCAACCAUAGAAUUGCCGUUGAAACUGGGAGGCGUGAGUAUGUUUGAGGCAGGCGGAAGGCGUGGUGUAGCGGUGAAAUGCUGAGAUAUCACGCAGAACCCCGAUUGGGAAGGCAGCCUGCCAAGCCAUGACUGACGCUGAUGCACGAAAGCGUGGGGAUCAAACAGGAUUAGAUACCCCGGUAGUC
rnacentral:rRNA from 1 species